rnacentral:rRNA from 1 species
AUUGAACGCUGGCGGCAGGCCUAACACAUGCAAGUCGAGCGGAGCGGCGGACGGGUGCGUAAUGCUUAGGAAUCUGCCUGUUCGUGGGGGAUAACGUCAGGUAACGGGCGCUAAUACCGCAUACUAUCAGAUUAGCCUAGGUCGGAUUAGCUAGUUGGUGGGGUAAAGGUCUACCAAGGCGACGAUCCGUAACUGGUCUGAGAGGAUGAUCAGUCACACUGGAACUGAGACACGGUCCAGACUCCUACGGGAGGCAGCAGUGGGGAAUAUUGGACAAUGGGCGAAAGCCUGAUCCAGCCAUGCCGCGUGUGUGAAGAAGGUCUUCGGAUUGUAAAGCACUUUAAGUUGGGAGGCGUUACCCGCAGAAGAAGCACCGGCUAACUCCGUGCCAGCCGCCGCGGUAAUAC